ACCUAACUAAAAGAAAGCGAAAUGAGUGAAUCCUUUAUUUAGCAAUUCGUGUAGGUGUCUUUCCGAAACAGUACUGUGAAAUAGUAAUGGAAGCAGAGAGAGACAGCAAGAGAGCGCUUUUGUUCCCUAGUCCUUUAUAAAUUCGUGAGAUCCAUUUAAAGUUAGUCUCCAGAGCUUCACUACGCCAUGAAGUUAGCCUUCUUACUUAUUCCCUUCCUGGUCGUCUUCGUCCUUUACGAGGGCAAGGCCGACGGCACCGAUGGAUCGGACAAUUCCGAAGGCGCCUCUGAGGAUCGUAAUGUUACGAAGGAAGGGGUUGAUAUAAUGGUACGAGUUAUAAAGUGGGCCAUGGAAAGACACGCUAAUGCUACCAACACAAGCAGCUCAGAUUCGCAAUAAUUAGAUUUAGCUAUGAGUAUUUUAAAAUAAACGUUAGAGCAGAAUUGUCUCAAACUUUUUGAGGCACUUUUACCUUCAAAAAAUCUAAAUUGAGUGUACCUCUCCUUUUAUUAAUAAAAUAAAAUAGCAUGUAAUCGCA